rnacentral:lncRNA from 1 species
UUCCUAUAAAAUAUAAAACAAAAAUAGUUAGAUAUAAGACAAGUUUACAUUCAAAAGAUAAAACCUCAAUUUUCCUUGUAAUUAAACUAAAAUAUAAAAAUAGAGGACAAUUAGCACUUCAAUGCAAGGAUGUAAAUGAAGCAAGGUGAGGUCGUGGAAGAUUCCCCCAUCUCAUCCUCAUUUGUAAAUUUAUCCUCAUCCCUGCCUCAUUCCU